GUUUUAAUAAUUUAAUAAAAAUAUUAGUCUUGUAAACUAAAAAUAAGAUUAUCUUUUAAAGCU
rnacentral:tRNA from 1 species